CAUAUCAAUAAGCGGAGGAAAAGAAACCAACAGGGAUUGCCUCAGUAACGGCGAGUGAAGCGGCAAGAGCUCAAAUUUGAAAGCUGGCUCCUUCGGGGUCCGCAUUGUAAUUUGCAGAGGAUGCUUCGGGAGCGGCCCCCAUCUAAGUGCCCUGGAACGGGCCGUCAUAGAGGGUGAGAAUCCCGUCUGGGAUGGGGUGCCCGCGCCCGUGUGAAGCUCCUUCGACGAGUCGAGUUGUUUGGGAAUGCAGCUCUAAAUGGGUGGUAAAUUUCAUCUAAAGCUAAAUACUGGCCGGAGACCGAUAGCGCACAAGUAGAGUGAUCGAAAGAUGAAAAGCACUUUGAAAAGAGAGUUAAACAGCACGUGAAAUUGUUGAAAGGGAAGCGCUUGCGACCAGACUCGCUCGCGGGGUUCAGCCGGCCUUCGGGCCGGUGUACUUCCCCGCGGGCGGGCCAGCGUCGGUUUGGGCGGCCGGUCAAAGGCCCUCGGAAUGUAACGCCCCCCGGGGCGUCUUAUAGCCGAGGGUGCCAUGCGGCCAGCCCGGACCGAGGAACGCGCUUCGGCUCGGACGCUGGCAUAAUGGUCGUAAGCGACCCGUCU
rnacentral:rRNA from 1 species